GUUUCCUCUUCUCUGCUGUAUUUUAUGAGAAAAAGGAUAAGUAGAGCACUGACUUUUCUUGUUGAGCGCCAAAAUAGGCAAUGCUGAGUUGUUUGUUUAUUUGUUGACUGGCGUAUAGUACUUAGUUCCACUAGAGUCAAGAUUAUGCGUGUUAAAACAAUAAGAAACUUACGCUAACUAAAUGUCCAGUUUCUUCAUACGAGCAAGGAUGUGAUAGGAGACACACCAAAUAAUGUAUUUAUUAUUUGUUUCAUUCCCUCUUGAGAAAUGCUUCAUUUUUGUCAAAUUAGUUUUGUUAGUUAUGGUUGCGGUGUUUCCAAUGAAAUAUCACUGUCCCGGCCGGGUGGUUCAUGAAGCUCGAGCACAGAAUGGCCAAGAAGUUGCUGUGAAAGUUUCAGUUGUUGAAGAAAGCAUAUAUCAAGUAUCAACUCUUAUAGGUGGUUUGUUGAUCGCCUUUCUCUAAAUUUCAUAGGUCAAAAAGCAGAUGUGCAACCAUGUACAAGUUUUUAGAGGACCAUGAUAAACUUGUUCAGAUAAAACUUACCAAAAGUUGUGACAAUUAUGACAGUAACUGUCGAUCAGUUCACAAGUCACACCCCUCGAGUUGACAAACUCGCCCCCUUUCCUACGGACACGACCGUCAGUAACUCUAUUAACUGUUUAUCAGUACCAUUGAUUAACUUACCAACAGUGUAAACCAACUGUAAAAUGAAUCUUUUAUAGGUUAAUGCUGGCAACCUAUAUAAAUGAGACGUACCCCCACACAUCUUCUAUUCAAUCUGUUUUUUUUGGUACAUCUUCUAUUCAAUCUUUCUUUCCAAUUCUUUAAUAUUUGUUUUUAGUUUUUAAUUUUUAUUUACUUUUAGAUUUUUUUCCCUUUAUUUUGUAGUAUAAGUAUUUGCGUUUUGAAGGGCAUCUCUAUACCGUCUUGCACGUCAUCGGAUUAGCAUGACUAUGUUUAUUCAUAUACAUAUAUUGUGGGCGUGUAUAAUUAUUUGAAAGUAAUAUUUGUUUAGCAUGUAAGACUAAAAUUGUAUGUAAUUAAUUAAGUUGUUGUUGGGGAGACAGAGGAGUCCAUGGGUCGAGGAGCAAGAUACUAAGAGAUAUCG